UACAGAGGGGGCAGGCGUUGCUCGGAAUCACUGGGCGUAAAGCGCACGUAGGCGGCUUCUUAAGUCAGGGGUGAAAUCCUGGAGCUCAACUCCGGAACUGCCUUUGAUACUGGGGAGCUUGAGUCCGGGAGAGGUGAGUGGAACUGCGAGUGUAGAGGUGAAAUUCGUAGAUAUUCGCAAGAACACCAGUGGCGAAGGCGGCUCACUGGCCCGGUACUGACGCUGAGGUGCGAAAGCGUGGGGAGCAAACAGG
rnacentral:rRNA from 1 species